GCAGAUUUUACUUUGUGUGCCCCAGAGUAUAAAGAUUACUUUCUUCCCUUAGUGAAAUUCUGUAUGGCAGCUACUUGGCACCUACUAAGAAAUUCAAUUCUUACAUACUAAUCAUAGUACUAUAUUUAUACUUGGAGUUUUCUCGUGGAUUGUCUGAGAAUUGGAAGACUUCGUCAGGAGUCCAACUGGACACAUGGGUGUCAAAUGCCUACAUUUCAAAAUUUGGUGGUGUAUACUGGCCUGAGAGUCUGCUGUCUGAAGACUAAAAUGUGCUGUGGGUUGUAAAACUCUUAAUUCCCCACCCUUAAUGGCCUGAUGAAAGAUUGAAUAAUCCUCAUGCAAGUUAGAACAUUAACAUGAAGUCCACAGAGGCAGAAGGAAACCAAGAAAGCCUAAAAAAGAAAGAUCAUCAGCUUCUGAUUAAACAACAUGUUAUUUUAAUUCUGUCUUGAUUUAGCGGAUCAGUUAAAAUUGGUGGAUUUUGCAUAAAAUCUCUUCUACACAGUAGAUGUAGUGUGUGUCUGAUCCAAAUUGAUAUUCAAAAUAGAGGUUUAUCAUCCUGGGAAGCUGUUUACUACUUUGGGGUGACCCAGCUUUUUUGAUCCUUAAGGGAUAGAGUUCUUGCUUUUAAUGAGCUUGAAGAUCUUUAUGCUUAAUUGAUUGGUUAGAUUUUUAAAGUAGUAGUGCAUGAAUUUCUUAGCUUGAAAAAGUAUUUCUGUGUGUGGUCCAGUGUUUUCCAGUUUAGACAUGGAUGAUGCAGAACUUUGUAGUCUGGUAGUGUUUUCUUUUUUUCAUUUUUCCUCUGAUUAUCAUCCUCUGUUUUAACCCUGGGUACCCUGAUCUGGUUUUGUUUUAAAAUAUUAUUGAGAUGAAUUACUUGCAUGCUAGAUUAUC